AUGGAUAGCCGUAAUUCAUGGCCGGAAGUAAAGCGCAUCAAUAACUAUGCCGCGUUUUCGGGGUGCCUGGCGAUGGUAAUCAGAGGAUUGGGCUAUCUAGUGGUUACCUGGUCCACUGUCGUUCUUCUCGGUGGCUUCGUCUCUCUACUCCAGAAGAAGGAUUUUUUUGCUCUCACAAUAAUUACAUUCAUUCAGAUAGCCGGGGUGGUCGAUAACCUUGCUGGUGACAAGUGGAACUCAGCUGCAAGGUCAGCAUCGGGACUGAAUGCGGUGGCCGCGGUUUUUGCGCGGAACCGGCAGGAUAGUGCAACGCCAUCAGCAAAUAUCCUGAGACUGGUAGUGAGUGUUAAACAAAUUCUAGGAUGGAUCGUAUCGCUUCUCCAACAAGCGGUGUACAUAGCUCUGUUUUUGUUCGGUGCUUUCUAUGUCAUACUUUGGGGGUUGUACUCGGCCGCCGGGAUUUCCCUGUUGCGUCUAAAACGGCACGAUUACGGGGACGCGGAUGGAGAUCCUAGCAAAGCAAACAUGAAUUUGGCCCUUGACGUCUUGUACAAAAUCGUCGUGGUCCAAUGUGCAAUCUUGCUCUAUAGAAGAAUAAUCAAUGCUCUUGUGGAGAAAAGGUUAGUAACGGAAGUGGCUGAAGCAUACGGCUUCAAAGGUCCUACUGUCACAUUAGUUGAGGAUUACAUGAAAGAAACCCGGAGGGGAUGUGCGAAGAACCCUUCCUUCGCCAAAGGAAGGAACCUGGUGACAUAUGCUGUGGACCUGAUGGGGCCUGAUAAGUCGCCUGCAGACUACGCCUCCGGGUUAACCAUCCUCAGCACAAUCUUUGGGCCACUGUGCCGGGUGAAAGUGAAACCAAGCAAGUUUCAGGAGCAGCGCGGCAUAAUACGAUAUCUGAUCUUGUACGCACCCUCCAGCCACAUCUUCCGUCUCCUUUUGGUCCUAUCGAAUCCGAGAAGCAGCCCAUAUGGUAGUGAGAGGCCAGAAACUCAGAUAAUUACCUCUCAACUAAGAGAGACAAGGAAGCACGCUGCAAACAUGGUGUUGCACCUGGCCGACGGGGUCAGUGUGGAGCAGCUUCCCCAAGUGAUCCAGUGCAUAUCCUCACUAAUCAGCACAUUUAAAGAACAUCAACGAUUUUUUUUUCACACACAGUGA
rnacentral:rRNA from 1 species